rnacentral:rRNA from 1 species
CCUACGGGCGGCAGCAGUGGGGAAUAUUGGACAAUGGACCGAGAGUCUGAUCCAGCAAUUCUGUGUGCACGAUGAAGUUUUUCGGAAUGUAAAGUGCUUUCAGUUGGGAAGAAAGAAAUGACGGUACCAACAGAAGAAGUGACGGCUAAAUACGUGCCAGCAGCCGCGGUAAUACGUAUGUCACGAGCGUUAUCCGGAUUUAUUGGGCGUAAAGCGCGUCUAGGUGGUUAUGUAAGUCUGAUGUGAAAAUGCAGGGCUCAACUCUGUAUUGCGUUGGAAACUGUAUAACUAGAGUACUGGAGAGGUAAGCAGAACUACAAGUGUAGAGGUGAAAUUCGUAGAUAUUUGUAGGAAUGCCGAUGGGGAAGCCAGCUUACUGGACAGAUACUGACGCUAAAGCGCGAAAGCGUGGGUAGCAAACAGGAUUAGAUACCCCGGUAGUC